ACUCCGUUUUGAAAGAAAAUACCUCAUUACAUUAAUAUUACAGUUUUUCACAUGCAUAUUGAAAUUUUUUAAAUUAAAUAGCAAUAAAUUAAAAUUAAAACUAUUUAUUGUCAAAUUAUAAUUAAUUAAAUACUGACCUCAGUGUUACUGCUAACCGUUCGACUACUGAUAUACAUUUUCUAAAAUUUGUGUUUGUUUUUUGUAUAUCGGGUUUAUAUGCUCUAACAAUUGGCAAAAUUGUUUGUAACUUAUUCGGAAAUAUUGAAAAAAUUGUUUAUUGUCCUGUUUUAAAUCUAGGAAUAGUUUAUAGAACUCUCCUUUUUUCCUUGCCAUAUGCAUGCUAUGAAUCCACUAUCUUUUCGUUGUAUAUUUUUCUUUUUCUUCAGAUUCUAACAAAAGAGCUAGUGUGAAUAUCAUGUCUUUUGUUACUACUUGUAUCACUCAUUAUAUUAUAUUAUUAUUUAUAUUUUACAAACACUCAAAAAUAUUAAAUAUAAUUAAUGUAAUAAUGAGCUUUAUUGAUUUCAACCAUUGAGCACGAGCAAUGAGAUCAAAAUGGCCAAGAAUAUAUGGCCGCGGAAUUCAAGCUGAUUCCGGCAUAGUGUGCAGACAAAAUUUGUUUCCGUUCUGAUGAUGUAAAUUUGUUUCCUUUACGCUCCUAUCUAGUGUGUGGCAACCUUUAUAAUGAUCUAAUGUUUCAUGGUUUUGCUUCCAAAAUAUCCAUAUUCUAAUAUUUUAUCUAUUUUGAAAUAAAUUGAAUCCUCUGUGUUAUAUGCUUAUAAUAUUGUUAUUUUGUAUAUAUUAUAGUAAGAUUUAAUUUGUAUGUAAUAAUAUUUAAACGUAGAUCAAAUAAAAUAGAUAAAAAAUUGUUCAACUGGAAUGAAUAUGUCGAAUACAUAGAAUGUAGAAAUUCAGUCUUAUCUGAGUACAACUAUAUGUUGCAUAAAGAUUUAUAUGGAAAUAGUAUACGCAAAACUCAGUUAUUUAUCAAUGAUUGGAACAUUAAGAAGUCGACUAUGCCAAUAGUAAAAAGUAAUAAUCUCAUUAACCUUUUACUUAAAUAUUUAUUUAUUUAACCAAAAUGUUGUUUAUACUGAAUAGCUGAACAAUUAAGUAAGGGCUUUAGAGAAAGUACUGAAUGUUUAUUAAAAUCAUUGCCUAGAGAUAAAAAAGAAAAAAGUUAUAGAGGAAUUCCUGCUUCAACCAAACCAUUGUCAUCAACUUUAAAAUGGAUAUUUGAAUAUUAUUCAAUGCAAUUAAGUGACGAAACAAAAAGAAUACUAAAACAAAAUUUUAUUCAAACUGAUAUUUUGUAUUUAACUGACAAAAACAGGUACUUUUUUACACAAUAAAAUAUCAAUAUCAAAUAACCAAUUUUUAAAUUAUAGCAAAUUUACACUGCUGUAUGAUAAGCCUAAAGCUACUAUAAAAACAAACUUUUUCUUUUUACAAUAAUCAAUUAACAGAAUUUAUGAACUGUGUAAUUUACAAAUUAUAUUUAUUAAAUCAGUCAUUAAAUUAAUAUAUAUAAUUGAUUAUUUGAAAGCAGUGCCAUGCAUAGUGGGGAGAUUAAAAGUUUAUCCCCAUUGAUUUAAAAAUGCAAACAAAAUUAAGUAUUUAUUUAGUAAUUUAAUCUUGAAAUUUAUAUAUUUUAGUUGAGGAAAAGCUUGAUGUAAAUAAUAAUAAUAGGUAAUAUUAUCUCA
rnacentral:lncRNA from 1 species